rnacentral:lncRNA from 1 species
UCCCCUCCUCCUCGAGUCCAUACUUCUAGUCCACUCCACCGUCACGCAAUGCAGUUCCACUCCUUUUCACCCCACCCAUCCAUUCCACCUACCAUUGCGCAAUGGAGAUCCACCCUUCUCCUCGCGUCCAUACUUCCACUCCACCACCGCGCAAUGCAGAUCCACCUCCUUCUUCUCGCCUUACCCGUCCAGUCCACCCCACCGUCGCACAAUGGAGAUCCACCUCCUUCUUCUCGCCACAACCAUCCAGUCCACCCCAUCGUCGCGCAAUGGAGAUGCACCCUCCUCCCCGCGCCCAUCCUUCCAAUCCACCACACCAUCGCGCAAAUGGAGAUUCACCUCCUUCUUCUCGCCUUACCCGUCCAGUCCACCCCACCGUCGCGCAAUGGAGAUCCACCUCCUUCUUCUCACCUCAACCAUCCAGUCCACCCCACCGUCGCGCAAUGGAGAUGCACCCUCCUCCCCGCGCCCAUCCUUCCAAUCCACCACACCAUCGCGCAAUGGAGAUCCACCUCCUUCUUCUCGCCUCACCCGUCCAGUCCACCCCACCGUCGCGCAAUGGAGAUCCAUCCUCCUCUCUACACCCAUCCUUCCAAUCCACCCCGCCGUCGUGCAAAUGGAGAUCCACCUCCUUCUUCUCGCCUCACCCGUCCAGUCCACCCCACCGUCGCGCAAUGGAGAUCCAUCCUCCUCUCCGCACCCAUCCUUCCAAUCCACCCUACCGUCGUGCAAAUGGAGAUCCACCUCCUUCUUCUCGCCUCACCCGUCCAGUCCACCCCCAUCGUCGCGCAAUAGAGAUCCACCCUCCUCCCCGCGCCCAUCCUUCCAAUCCACCCCACCGCCGCGCAAAUGGAGAUCCACCUCCUUCUUCUCGCCUCACCCGUCCAGUCCACCCCAUCGUCGCGCAAAUGGAGAUCCACCUCCUUCUUCUCGCCUCACCCGUCCAGUCCACCCCCAUCGUCGCGCAAUGGAGAUCCACCCUCCUUCCCGCGCCCAUCCUUCCAAUCCACCCCCACCUCGCGCAAAUGGAGAUCCACCUCCUUCUUCUCGCCUCACCCG